GGGAAUAACGCUGUUUAAAUAUUGUGUACUUACAAUUUAAGACGACAAUUACCAGCAGCUUCAGGGGAUAUAACUGGUAGAGAACUGCAAUGAUAUUUGUUGUAUUUUUCGCUUCGUGUCUUUUAAUAGUCAAAAGUGCACCUACAGCAGAUCAAUGUAGUUUCCCUUACCGUCGAAUAGGCGAAGGAUGUUUCCUUAUAAUAAACGAUACUGUUUCCGGUGAUGCUGCUUUUGCAAAAUGUUUACACCGUGGUCUCUACCUGGCGACCUUUGAAACCAUAAAUGAGUCCAUGUUGAUGAAGUUUGAACUCUUAAAAAUGAACGCAGGUGUCCACUAUUUUGUUGGUGGACGUAACAUCAACAGAUACACGUCUGGUGGUGAUUGGAGAUGAAUUAAGAAGAAUGGAGAUAUAGUCAGGAUGACUUACUUUGCAUUUGAUGACGGGGAACCAAAUGGAUCACUUAGUGCACCACAAGAUUGUAUGUGUUUCUAUGCUAGUAGAAAAUACACGUUCCACGCCGUCUGGUGCGAAAAUGGAGGCGUGGUUGGUGGUUACAUUUGCCAGAGACAUAUUUGAAUAUGUAGCUUUUUUUCCUAUUUUAUAGUACAUUUUAGGCCAAUGCAAUUGUAACCAUUCUUUGUUUGUUUUUAAACAGUGUUACUUCAAUUUAUUAACGAUCACUAUAAGAUC